UCUCCCAAAGCAACUUUUAAUCCUGUAGUGAUCUGUCUGGGAACAGCGUUGGUAAUGUGUGGGAUUGUGAUCUCUGUUCAAGCUGUUUUACUCUGUAAAAGGAAAAACUGUGAUCAAUACAGAGAGAGAAUUCAGCAUGGUGCUGUGAUAAACACUGAGAAGACGAACACUCAGGACCGAGACUCUGUGGAGCUGAAUUACGCUGCCUUACACUUUAAUGAACGGAAAACUAAAAGAGCGAGAGAAAAUC